rnacentral:rRNA from 1 species
CUCCGGUUGAUCCUGCCGGACCCUGACUGCUAUCGGAUUGGUACUGAGCCAUGCGAGUCAUUGUAGCAAUACAAGGCGGACGGCUCAGUAACACGUAGUCAACCUAACUCGUGGACGUGGAUAACCUCGGGAAACUGAGAAUAAACCACGAUAGACCAUAGUGCCUGGAAUGGCUUAUGGUCCAAACAGUUUACUGCCAUGGGAUGGGACUGCGGCCUAUCAGCUUGUUGGUGAGGUAAUGGCCCACCAAGGCGAUUACAGGUACGGGCUCUGAGAGGAGAAGCCCGGAGAUGGGUACUGAGACACGGACCCAGGCCCUAUGGGGCGCAGCAGGCGAGAAACCUUAGCAAUGUGCGAAAGCACGACUGGGUCAGUCCGAGUGAUUCCUGAUAAAGGAGUCUUUUGCUUGUCCUAAAAGCACAGGUGAAUAAGGGGUGGGCAAGUCUGGUGUCAGCCGCCGCGGUAAUACCAGCACCUCGAGUGGUCAGGACGUUUAUUGGGCCUAAAGCAUCCGUAGCCGGCUUUGCAAGUCUUCGGUUAAAUCCACCUGCUCAACAGAUGGGCUGCUGGAGAUACUACAAAGCUAGGGAGUGGGAGAGGCAGACGGUAUUCAGUGGGUAGGGGUAAAAUCCUCUGAUCCAUUGAGGACCACCAGUGGCGAAGGCGGUCUGCCAGAACACGUUCGACGGUGAGGGAUGAAAGCUGGGGGAGCAAACCGGAUUAGAUACCCGGGUAGUCCCAGCUGUAAACGAUGCAAACUCGGUGAUGCAUUGGCUUAUGGCCAAUGCAGUGCCGCAGGGAAGCCGUUAAGUUUGCCGCCUGGGAAGUACGGACGCAAGUCUGAAACUUUAAGGAAUUGGCGGGGGAGCA